CAGGAAUGAAAUUUGCCUGAAUCAAAUCAGACUCUCCCAAACGGUGCAACCAAGUUUAUUAGCCUGCUAUAGUAUGUAACAUUUGUCAAAAUAUGAUGCAGGAUAUUUUGAGAUUGAUGGUAGCAUGAAUAUUAGAUUUUUGAACAAUUACCAUAGUUUGGAUAAUAUUUUAUUUUAGAAUGCCUGAGAAGAAAAUUAAAGAUUCAAGAAGAGGCUGACUGCUUUGCUGUUUUCGCAAUGAGAAUGCAUCAUUAACAGAAAAAGGAAAGGGCGUUUUUGCUUGGACAUUGUCUUCAGAACUGGUUUUUGAGGCGCCCUCAGAAAAAGUUCUGAUUACAUUAUAGCCACACCUUGUUUGGCCCUCAAUCUAAGCUUGUUUUGUGAGAUCCGACAUCAAAGGAUUUGAAGCUGUUUCCAAAACCUAAGGAAGAAGAUGUGCCACCAUCAAAAAUAUUCUGAUAGCCAUUACAAAAAUGGGAUUCCAAAAAUCUUUUGAGUAAUCUCAAUAUUUUGAGAUUUUCUCCAUGUUUAAUUUGAAGUCAGAGGAAACAGAGAACUAGUAUAUGCCCUAAAUUGGAGUCUGAGGAGUUAGGAAGUCUAAGUUCAAGUUCUGGUUCCAGUGUUUUGUAGCUCUAUUCCCUCAGGAAGCCACUUUGUUUAUGAAACUUUAAGGGACUUAAUCUUUUAUGUGAGAAUACUACUGCCCCGUGAGACUUCUC
rnacentral:lncRNA from 1 species